rnacentral:rRNA from 1 species
UACGUAGGGUGCGAGCGUUUGUGUCCGGGAAUUAUUGGGCGGUUAAAGAGCUUGUAGGCGGUUUGUCGCGUCUGCUGUGAAAAUCCGGGGCUCAAACCCCGGACUUGCAGUGGAGUACGGGUAGACUAGAGGGCAGGUAGGGGAGAAUGGAAUUCCCGGUGUAGCGGUGAAAUGCGCAGAUAUCGGGAGGAACACCGGUGGCGAAGGCG